rnacentral:rRNA from 1 species
GGAAUAUUAGAAAUGGACGAAAGUCUGAUCUAGCAACACCGCGUGUGCGAAGAAGGCCUUCGGGUCGUAAAGCACUUUUUGGAAGGAAGAGGAAGGAAUGUACUUCCAGAAUAAGUCUCGGCUAACUACGUGCCAGCAGCCGCGGUAACACGUAGGAGGCAAACGUUAUCCGGAUUUACUGGGCGUAAAGCGCGUGUAGGUGGUACUGUAAGUAGGGCGUGAAAGCUCCUGGCUCAACUGGGAGAGGCCGUUCUAAACUACAGAACUAGAGGAUGGUAGAGGGAGGUGGAAUUCCAGGUGUAGCGGUGGAAUGCGCAGAUAUCUGGAGGAACACCGGUGGCGAAGGCGGCCUCCUGGACCAUUCCUGACACUCAGACGCGAAAGCUAGGGUAGCAAACGG